CUUUACUUUGGCAACAGAUAUGCUAAAAUUGCAAUGAUACAGAGGUUAACAUGGUCAUUGUGCAAGGAUAAUAUGCAAAUUCAAGAAGUCUUCCACAUUUUU